rnacentral:rRNA from 1 species
GGUUAAGCGACUAAGCGUACACGGUGGAUGCCCUGGCAGUCAGAGGCGAUGAAGGACGUGCUAAUCUGCGAAAAGCGUCGGUAAGGUGAUAUGAACCGUUACAGCCGGCGAUGUCCGAAUGGGGAAACCCAGUGCAAUUCGUUGCACUAUCGUUAACUGAAUACAUAGGUUAACGAGGCGAACCGGGGGAACUGAAACAUCUAAGUACCCCGAGGAAAAGAAAUCAACCGAGAUUCCCCCAGUAGCGGCGAGCGAACGGGGAGCAGCCCAGAGUCUGAAUCAGCUUGUGUGUUAGUGGAACGGUCUGGAAAGUCCGACGGUACAGGGUGAUAGUCCCGUACACCAAAAUGCACAGGCUGUGAACUCGAAGAGUAGGGCGGGACACGUGGUAUCCUGUCUGAAUAUGGGGGGACCAUCCUCCAAGGCUAAAUACUCCUGACUGACCGAUAGUGAACCAGUACCGUGAGGGAAAGGCGAAAAGAACCCCGGCGAGGGGAGUGAAAAAGAACCUGAAACCGUGUACGUACAAGCAGUGGGAGCACCUUCGGGUGUGACUGCGUACCUUUUGUAUAAUGGGUCAGCGACUUAUAUUCUGUAGCAAGGUUAACCGUAUAGGGGAGCCGCAGGGAAACCGAGUCUUAACUGGGCGUUAAGUUGCAGGGUAUAGACCCGAAACCCGGUGAUCUAGCCAUGGGCAGGUUGAAGGUUGGGUAACACUAACUGGAGGACCGAACCGACUAAUGUUGAAAAAUUAGCGGAUGACUUGUGGCUGGGGGUGAAAGGCCAAUCAAACCGGGAGAUAGCUGGUUCUCCCCGAAAGCUAUUUAGGUAGCGCCUCGUGAACUCAUCUUCGGGGGUAGAGCACUGUUU